CCGGUAUAUGUCUUUCGUCUGUAUGUUAGUUGUGUUUUGUUUUAGCGAUUAGUAUAUAUAAGUCAGUCCCUUUCCAGCUGAUUUUUACAGCGUGUUUUUAUGUUCUGUUACAGCACUGCCCUGCGAUGGGGAGGUAAUGCUAUACAAAAGUGUUAAUUCCGUGUAAGAAUGAAUCAUUUAUAUUUCAACGUCAAUUAGCAGAGACAUAACGUAGUGCCAAAAACAAAAGUUAGUUAUACUAUGAUUAUUAUCUUGUAUGUCGGACGAGAUUAUCGUUUAC
rnacentral:lncRNA from 1 species